UAAGAGGUCGCGCCUGCCCUGUGAUAUUAAUUUAACGGCCGCGGUAUUUUGACCGUGCAAAGGUAGCGCAAUCACUUGUCUAUUAAAUAUAGACCCGUAUGAAUGGCAAGACGAGGGCUUAACUGUCUCCUUUCUCAAGUCAAUGAAAUUGAUCUCCCCGUGCAGAAGCGGGGAUAAGAACAUAAGACGAGAAGACCCUAUGGAGCUUUAGACAACAGGAUAGUCUAUGUUGAAACCUCCUAAAUAAAGGAAUAAACAUUUUUAGGUCCUACCCUAAUGUCUUUGGUUGGGGCGACCGCGGAGAAAAAGUAACCUCCACGUGGAAUAAUAGUACAACUACUCCAUACUAGAGCUACAGCUCUAUGAAACAGAAUUUCUGACCAUACAGAUCCGGCUUAUGCCGAUUAACGGACAGAGUUACCCUAGGGAUAACAGCGCAAUCUCCUUUUAGAGCCCAUAUCGACAAGGAGGUUUACGACCUCGAUGUUGGAUCAGGACAUCCUAAUGGUGCAGCCGCUAUUAAGGGUUCGUUUGUUCAACG
rnacentral:rRNA from 1 species